rnacentral:rRNA from 1 species
AGUCUGCAACCCGACUACAUGAAGCCGGAAUCGCUAGUAAUCGCGGAUCAGAAUGCCGCGGUGAAUACGUUCCCGGGUCUUGUACACACCGCCCGUCACACCAUGGGAGUUGGAAAUGCCCGAAGUCAGUGGCCCAACCGGAAGGGGGGGAGCUGCCGAAGGCAGGUUCGAUGACUGGGGGUGAAGUCGUAACAAGGUAGC